rnacentral:sRNA from 1 species
GGUUUCCAGUUUGAAGAAAAGGGCUCAGUUGCCUUAGAAUGAGUUGAAUCUAUUUCCUUUAAUGGCGUAGUGGAAUGCACAUGUUCUUAGCGCUGAUUUAAACUUUUCUGACCUUGAAAUUACAGGUCUUAUGCAUUCAUAACCUAUAGCUUUCAUGACUGUCUCUGUUGUUUAAUGCUAGUUGAACUUUUCUGAAACAGAAAUUUCAUGUCUCGUGCAUGCAUGGCCUUUGCCUUUUGUGAUAUGGUUUAAAUGUUUAAGUUGUUUAAACUUAUUUAACUUUUUCUGGAACAGAAAUCGCACAUCUUGUGCAUGCAUAGCCUAUACUUUCAUGAUAGUGAUGAAUAAUACCGAUCCACUUUCCUGGCAAUAAACUGCAUUUUUUGUGUUUUUGGAUCAAUAAGAAUAAACCAGAUGUCUUGUGCAUGCAUGUCCUGUAUUUACGCUCUGUGGCUAGUUGUAUCUCUUAUGCUUAUGGAUUGUUGCUGUGUCAUACCCUAUAUAUGAUGGAUUCUUGAGGUCAGCAGAACAUAAUAGACUUUCUGAAUGUCUAUCUAUAAAUUGCUCUUUUACUUUUACUGAUGAUGGAAUAUAUAGGGUUAAUGCAUGAUACAUUUUGCCAUUUUCGCAUUUAUGAUCGUUGCUGUCUCUUGCUGGCUGAAUAACUGAUCAUUUUACUUGUUUGAUUUCAAUUUGUUGUUAACUUGUAACCUGCCCUUCGAAAUCAAAUAUGUUGACAACUUGUCAUUCUUCCCUGUUGCUCCUGGGUCAUUUCUUUCACUAUUUAUUGGAGUUGCUUUACCUAUUGCGGAUCGUGAUCUUUUGUUUGCUCAUGCUUGAAAGAUGUUAAAAAUUUUCAGUUCUCCUUUAACUAUAACUCUGUCAAGCUGAGAUCUAAUGGCUACAUGAUUUAAUCUGACGUUGUCCUAAAAUUGAAAGUUCUGCAUUUUGUGUGUGAAUUCAAGACUCUCUUGACCUUUGUGCCUUGAUCCGUUGCUGCAUAUUGAUUUUUCUAACGCCUAUCCAUUCACUAAUAACAUAUUCACCCUGUUGGUUUGUUAACCCUUCAUUCUAUUGUGUUUAUUAUGUUAUCAGAAUCAACAAAAAGGGUAGUAGUGCUUAAAUAUCUCUCCUCUUAAAAUGUUUAAAUGCCUACUAAUUGCUUACUGCAAGUAUUGGGCUCAAGGUUCUAUAAUGACAAGCGAUUAUUACUUGAAGACUACAAUUCAUUAUUAUUAUGUGAUUUUAGAUGAGGUGCAUGUUAAACCUAUAUGUGUGCAGCAUGCCUAUUAAAUUUUACAUGUGCACUAUUCGAUUAAAUUUGAAACUAAUCACUCCAUAUUCAAUCUCCAGCUUCUGCGUAUAAUUUAUUUCUUUAUUCUUUAUCAAUUUGAAUCGCAUUGUAUGGAUAAGACAGAAGAAACUAUAAAGUCAAGUAGAUAACGUGUGUGGCAUGUAGGCAAGGAAAAUAACAUGGAUGAAAAGGGCCACAGGACCCAAGAAUUUGCUUGAGCUCUGCAUGCUGUGUAUUGCUGAUGACAGAGGCAUGGUUAUGGCUUCUCUACCAGGGACAUAGUGUACCGUAGAGAACAACAGGAAUGCAUGUCUGAGGCAUAGCAACAGACCUGCAGCCAUGUAGCUGUUCUGACCUCAACAACCAGACUUAGAAUCCAUGUUGGGUGACUGCUGCAAUGAACUGCUAAACCUUCUUCCAUUGUAGGCUAUAGUGACUGAUCACUGAACAGCAAUAGCAUCCCCCCACACUGUAAAACCUUGUGGUCAGCUUCUCCAGUGGUUGGUAACUGGCAUCAUCUCUACAGCAAAAAAAAAAAAAAGAAGUUUAGACACCCCUUUCUCGGAUCACCGUUUCUUUUUGACAAUCUGAUCACCCUGCAAAUGCAACUAACAGCCUUUAAAGAAAAAGAAAAGAUCGUGUUGCUAACGUAAGAACUGUGCACGGAGCUGUUUUUUGUACUGAACUUUUUGCUGCGGUUCUACAGUUGUCCAUUUGAGUUGACUCCUCGUCCUUGACAUUAAUGAGGGCGCCAGAAAAUGCUGCAGGGUCGUUGCUGAGGCUGGGCCAAUAAAAUUUUGCGGGUUAUAUACCUGUCUGCUCAACGGGCCUUCACAACCGAAUUGAAUUGAUCUAACCAGGUCUAAUUUGAGCUUUCGGGCCAUACCGAAAACACUAGUCCAAUCAGGUCUGAACUUUGAACCGAAGGAUAUAUGACGGUGAGUUUUUGGACCUUUUUUUGCAUAAAGAACGGCUGAUUCGUGGGUCACGAUUGGCCAUCUAUGACCUCAGAAAGGUCAAAAACCUUGACUUUUGAGGUAAUAACUAAUCUUUUUACAUAAAUAAUUAAUGUAAAAGGGAGAAAAAAAGGUAAGAAUAUAUUAUAUAAUAUAUAUAUUAUUUUCAAUUUUCUCCUCUCUCAUGGGACGUUCUCUAAAAGAGGUAAGUGGAAUAUUCGAAUUAUUUCAUUUACAAAUUGUUUGGAUCUUUGGGGUAGUAUUAAUUUUUUUUGUAUGA